rnacentral:rRNA from 1 species
AAUGAACGUUGGCGGCGUGGAUUAGGCAUGCAAGUCGUGCGAGAAGCUCCUUCGGGAGUGGACAGCGGCGGAAGGGAGAGUAACGCGUGGUUACGUGCCCUCGAGACCGGGGAUAGUAACGGGAAACUGUUAGUAAUACCGGAUAAUAUCUUUGGAUCAAAGGUGUGAUUCCGCUCGAGGAUCGGACCGCGUACUAUUAGCUUGUUGGCGGGGUAAUAGCCCACCAAGGCUGCGAUGGUUACCGGGUGUGAGAGCAUGGCCCGGCUCACUGGGACUGAGACACUGCCCAGACACCUACGGGUGGCAG